UGAGCGCCAUUCCAUUCUCUUCACACGCGUGUAUACUUUUCCUCUAUUUUGUAAACCCUAAUUACUAUACAACCGUUUCAAAAUCAUCUAUUCAUCUUCUCUCCAAUUUCUUCCUAGAAUACCAAUCAGUUUCCAUUUAACAAAGAUUAUUGUCAAGCAAGAUACAUAUACAGAUGAUUACACGUUCUUCAAGAUCUCCGUCUACUUCAUCAUUUUCUUAAAUCGAUUACUGAAUAUCUUCCAUCGAUCUCCAAAUCUUUAAGAUGAGUUUGUUUAAUUCUGUCUUUAAUCAUCCUUUAUGCUUUCUUCCGUUUACUUACUGUUUUAAAAUUACGUUUCUUUUAUAUAAACCCUAAAUCCGUUUAUAAUCGAAAAUCUGUUGAUUUUGUCUAUUAACAUUAUGGUUUUGUUAUAUAAAUUGAUGGUUAUGGUUAUGCAAAGGCCUAAAUCCUAUUUGUGAUGAAUAUUUGCGUGAUUUGAGGAAGAGGAGGAUUUUGAAAUCUGUGCAUAGGUUUGUUAGAUGGCCACAAGUUUCAUGAUUCAGAGGAAGAGGAGGAUUUUGAAACAGAGGUUGAAGGUUCCACCGACUUUGAAUCAGUUUACUAAGACGCUUGAUAAGAAUCUAGGUAUUGUAUGUAUCUUUACAUAGACAUGAAGGUGGAACAUUUUAUCCUGGUACUGGCGCAGUCAGAACUAAUGUCAGAUCAUGAACAUGAUGAUUCCGAUACUGAGUUCAUUGAUAUCGAUAUAGCUGGUUCUUAUGGUUGGGUAUUGUAUCUAUCUUUACAUAGACAUGAAGGUGGAAAAUUUACAGCCUAAAAAUGGAAGCUUAAGUCCCAUAUGCAAGACCGUGAAGUUGUGAAGUGAAAGGUGGAUGGCUUUGGACUUUACAUCUUGGAUCGGACUUCGGUUAUGUCACAAGUGAAGGAAAGGACUAGAGAUGAGCAUUUGAUAUAGUUGGUUCCGGUAUCAAAUUUCCCGUAUCCAAUUUUUUUGGUACUCACUUCUUGGCAUUUUUGGUACCGGUAUAUUCGAGUCAGUACGGUAGCAGUAUUUUACUGAAUUUUACAUACAAAUAUUGGUACAGGUACCGUACCGAACAUUUUCCGCACAGGUACCCAUAUUUGGCAAUUUUUGAUACCCAUAUCAUAUUUGGCGAUUUCGGUGUAUCUAAAGAUUGGUAUAGUUCAUACAUGGGCUUCAACGCCAGUAGAUAUUAUAUGUUUGUGUUAAGCCACCCGCGAAACUCGCGGGAUCUUAAACUAGUAUAUUAUUAUAGUUAUUAAAAAAGGUAUUUAGUACACAUGUGUAAUAAAAUGUCGUUGUUAAAAUGA